rnacentral:lncRNA from 1 species
GCGGCUGUGAGGGGCUGGGUGGUAUCUGCGCAGAAGUGCGUUUGCGCAGGCGGGGUGGGAAAUACUGAGAAGUACAGUGGAGUUAACAGCGUAAGUUUAUGUUUCUCCAACUGUACGUAGCUGGUGUGCUGUUUCCUGGUGAUUCAUGUUCAGCUCUCAAAGCCCCACGUGGUAGUGCCUCGUUCAAAGAGCACAGACUGCCUGCCUGCAUUCCAGUUUACAACAGUAUCAUCAAUGACAACAAACAAAUAACUUCAUUCUAUGACUGGGAGGCUGCAAAUUACUUGACCUGUAGAAAUCUAGGCAUCAAGCAGUCAUAAUGUUAUCUAAAACCUCUGGAAAAGGUGGAUUGGACUCUUCUUGCAGCGUGUCUGCACAGCACCCCUGGCACUGAGGAGGAGG